rnacentral:rRNA from 1 species
UACGUAGGGGGCUAGCGUUGUCCGGAAUCAUUGGGCGUAAAGCGCGUGUAGGCGGUCCGGUAAGUCCGCUGUGAAAGUCGGGGGCUCAACCCUCGGAUGCCGGUGGAUACUGUCGGGCUUGAGUACGGAAGAGGCGAGUGGAAUUCCUGGUGUAGCGGUGAAAUGCGCAGAUAUCAGGAGGAACACCGGUGGCGAAGGCGGGUCUCUGGGCCGAUACUGACGCUGAGGAGCGAAAGCGUGGGGAGCGAACAGG